GUGGGGAAUAUUGCGCAAUGGGCGGAAGCCUGACGCAGCGACGCCGCGUGGGGGAUGAAGGCCUUCGGGUUGUAAACCUCUUUCACCAGGAGCGAAUCCAGACGGUACCUGGGGAAGAAGCGCCGGCUAACUACGU
rnacentral:rRNA from 1 species